rnacentral:tRNA from 1 species
GCGGGCAUAGCUCAGCUGGUAGAGUACGAGCUUCCCAAGCUUGGGGUCACGGGUUCGAUCCCCGUUGCCCGCU